UGGCCACUCCUACUCCUACGGCACAGAGAACUGAAAGACAGCGCAGUCGUCUCACAUCUGGAGCUCUUUCACUUCUAUAUCUCACAGAAGAACCAGCAGCUGGCAAAAGGACCGCUGGGUAAUGGCUGCUCCCAGGACUUACCUCUCGCUUGCCGUCUGUCUUUUUCUGGGACAUCAAACUGUUGCCAUAAGCGAUGCUCCCUGCCAGCUCUCCACUUGGAAAAAAGGCUUCAAAACCUUCAUGGAUCGCCACGUUCGCAAUGGAACUCCUACGACCCUUGAUCAAAAUGAGUGGUUUAGUUACAUUAAGAAUAUCGGGGACUGUAGCAGACCCACACAGUCCUUCCUUGAUCCAAAGGAACUGAAGAGGGUGAAGGCCGUCUGCUCAAAGAAUGGAGGAAAGACGUACAAGGAUAACCUGUGCAUCAGCCAGCAGCCUUUCACCUUUGUCACAGUGAGAAGUGUUAAGGACACCUGUGGUAUCAAAAGUGUCCAAAAGGACACCAAACACCUGAUCCUGGCCUGUGAAGUGUUGGACAACGAGUGUGUGCCGGUCCAUUUUGAGGGAAACCCCACGAACCUGAAGCCUGAUAACAAUGCCAAAGCCUGCCAGGACCCCAGGAUAAGCCAUGCUCCCAGCUUAAAAACGACAUGGCUCUGGUUGUUGUUUACUUUGUUAUUCCUUAUAAGCUUUUUUUAAAUUGAUUAAUUAAAUGUUAUGGAUUUGUUUUUGUUUUUUUAUCUGAAGGCUUUUCAAUUCAGUUCACAUUUCAGUCAUGAAAUUUGAUUUGGAGUUUCUGACUUCAAAGCAAUAUUAAAACAAACCAAAAAAGUCAAGUAUUCAGUUAUUUAAAGAUGGAUUUUUGUAACAAAUGUUGCUACUUUUUUAUGCAUGUACUGCUCAGGUGAGUCUGUCUAUGAGUUUGAUUUGAAUAAUUUGAUUGUGGACAUGGCAGACAUGGUGUGCAGGGUUUGAAUAACAACAGUGGUCUCUUGAGACUGACUCAAAAAUAAAAUUAUUGGUGCUAAAUUAUGAGCCCAUGAAGAGUAAAUUUAAUAAAAAUUCUCAAAAAGCAA